CCUACGGGUGGCAGCAGUGAGGAAUAUUGGUCAAUGGGCGAGAGCCUGAACCAGCCAAGUCGCGUGAGGGAAGACGGUCCUAUGGUUUGUAAACCUCUUUUGCCGGGGAGCAAAAAGCGGUACGUGUACCGCAUCGAGCGUACCCGGAGAAAAAGCAUCGGCUAACUCCGUGCCAGCAGCCGCGGUAAUACGGAGGAUGCGAGCGUUAUCCGGAUUUAUUGGGUUUAAAGGGUGCGCAGGGGGCGAGUUUAGUCAGGGGGUAAAAUUAGGGGCUCAAACCCCGACAAGCCUUUGAAACUGGCUUGCUAGAGUGGGCGAGAGGUAUGCGGAAGUCGUGGUGUAGCGGUGAAAUGCAUAGAUAUCACGCAGAACACCGAUGGCGAAGGCAGCAUACUGG
rnacentral:rRNA from 1 species